rnacentral:sRNA from 1 species
AGCUGGCGGCGGGGGAGGCGGGCAGCGGAGCCAAGCUGACCCGGCGAGCGGAGCCGGGGCUGGAGAGCGGCGACCACUGCGGAUCUCGGAAGGAAGAAAUGAUGUAAAUCACUCAUCCAAACUUUAAGGUCAAAGGUGAGAAGGAAGGUCAGGAAGAACAUGGCCUGGCCAAAUGUUUUUCAGAGAGGGUCUCUGCUGUCCCAGUUCAGCCAUCAUCAUGUUGUAGUGUUCCUGCUCACUUUCUUCAGUUAUUCGUUGCUCCAUGCUUCACGAAAAACAUUUAGCAAUGUCAAAGUCAGUAUCUCUGAGCAGUGGACCCCAAGUGCUUUUAACACAUCAGUUGAGCUGCCUGUGGAGAUCUGGAGCAGCAACCAUUUGUUCCCCAGUGCAGAGAAAGCGACUCUUUUCCUCGGAACACUGGAUACCAUUUUCCUCUUCUCCUAUGCUGUGGUGUUUGUCUUUGGUGCGCUCACAGAAUGGCUGCGUUUCUACAACAAAUGGCUGUACUGCUGCCUGUGGAUUGUGAACGGCCUGCUGCAGUCCACUGGUUGGCCCUGUGUGGUUGCUGUUAUGGGCAACUGGUUUGGGAAAGCCGGACGAGGAGUUGUUUUUGGUCUCUGGAGUGCCUGUGCUUCGGUGGGCAACAUUUUGGGAGCGUGCCUAGCUUCUUCUGUUCUUCAGUAUGGUUAUGAGUAUGCCUUUCUGGUGACGGCGUCUGUGCAGUUUGCUGGUGGGAUCGUUAUCUUCUUUGGACUCCUGGUGUCACCAGAAGAAAUUGGAAAACUCUGAGCUCCUUUUAGUGAGUGAAAGGAGAACUGUACUGCCGUUUGAGUCCUGUCAACAUUGUAGCCAGCCCCUGGCACAGCUGGACGUGUUUGAGGGGAGUGAUGCACGUCUUUUAUAGAUACAGGAAAAUCUUCGCAUUUGCAAAUUACUUUUAUAAUUGAGACACUGGCAAGGAAUGAACAUAGAUGUAUUUCUAAUUUCACUUCUUGAAACAUUUCUUUUCAUCCAUAAAAAUGAUGCACAAAAAUGAUACUUAACCUGUAGUUAAAUACAGAUUACAUACAAAUGAAACCACAGAAGCAAACAGAUGUACAAUUCUUCUAUCUUUUGAGUAUUUUUAGAUAGACUGUGUGACUUUAAUUGACCUUAGUUGACCUCGGUCUCUGGACCUUCGUUGCUGCUUCUGUAAAAUGGAAAUAAAAAUAACAUCACCUCAUAAGUA